rnacentral:misc_RNA from 1 species
AAACAUAAUAACAUUAAAACUUUUACUUUACCUUCCAUUUAAGAUCUUACCUGAAAAAAUCAUGGCUCACAGUCCUCCUAGCAAAGUGUAAUUUUGCGUCUCUCUGGAGCAGCAAAGCCCUGGUGGUGAAAGUCUGAAGCAGAACACAGAAAUAUCCAUGGCAGUCUCUUCUUGUUGGCGCAGAUUAUCAUCCCCUUCUCGCUUUCGUUUCAUUCGUUACUUAUCUUCUUCUUCUUCUACCUCUCGACACUUUGAUCCUCCUCCUCCAAUUACUCCCCGCAGAGUGGUCGUCACGGGUCUAGGCAUGGUGACUCCUCUGGGUUGCGGUGUGGAUGCGACAUGGCUGCGGUUGAUAGAGGGAAAAUGUGGGAUAAGAGCAAUAACACCUGAGGAUCUCAAAAUGAAUAAUUUCGAUAUGGAAACUCAGUUGCACACAUUCGACCAGCUGACCUCUAAAGUUGCCGCAAUUGUGCCCUGUGGAACCGGCCCCGGUGAAUUCAAUGAGGAAUUAUGGCUUAAUUCUAAGGAUCAUCGAUCGAUUUCAAGGUUUAUAGGCUAUGCACUAUGUGCUGCUGAUGAAGCUUUAAAAGAUGCAAAAUGGGUACCCACUGAACAGGAGCAGAAGGAAAGAACGGGUGUUUCUAUUGGUGGGGGAAUUGGAAGUAUCACUGAUAUACUGGAUGCUUCGCAAAUGAUUUGUGAGAAGAGACUUCGUCGGCUUAGUCCAUUUUUUAUCCCAAGGAUAUUGAUCAACAUGGCAUCUGGUCAUGUGAGUAUGAAGUAUGGAUUCCAGCCUCUUGAAGGACAUUCUCAUUUAUAUCGACAAAGCGACAUAUUCCCACAUGGUCAAGCCUUUCUUUUGGAUAUAGGGACCAAACCAUGCUGCUGUUACUGCUUGUGCUACUGGGGCUCAUUCCAUUGGUGAUGCUACAAGGAUGAUUCAAUUUGGUGAUUCGGAUGUUAUGGUGGCUGGAGGCACAGAGUCCAGCAUAGAUGCUUUGUCAAUAGCAGGAUUUUGCAGGUCAAGGGCUCUGACUACAAAGUACAAUUCUUUGCCCCUAGAAGCUUCUCGGCCUUUUGAUUGUGGUCGAGAUGGAUUUGUGUAAGCACACUUUUGUAACAGGUCUAAUUUUCAAGUUUGUCAUUCUUUUUUGUUAUUAUUACCAUCUGAUUAUGCUUUGAGGUCAGGAUAGGUGAAGGUGCUGGUGUCCUUGUAUUAGAA